AUUGAACGCUGGCGGCAUGCCUUACACAUGCAAGUCGAACGGCAGCACGGGAGCAAUCCUGGUGGCGAGUGGCGAAACGGGUGAGUAAUAUAUCGGAACGUGCCCAGUCGUGGGGGAUAACGUAGCGAAAGCUACGCUAAUACCGCAUACGAUCUAUGGAUGAAAGCGGGGGAUCGCAAGACCUCGCGCGAUUGGAGCGGCCGAUAUCAGAUUAGGUAGUUGGUGAGGUAAAGGCUCACCAAGCCGACGAUCUGUAGCUGGUCUGAGAGGACGACCAGCCACACUGGGACUGAGACACGGCCCAGACUCCUACGGGAGGCAGCAGUGGGAAUUUUGGACAAUGGGCGCAAGCCUGAUCCAGCAAUGCCGCGUGCAGGAUGAAGGCCUUCGGGUUGUAAACUGCUUUGUACGGAACGAAACGGUGAGCUCUAAUACAGUUUGCUAAUGACGGUACCGUAAGAAUAAGCACCGGCUAACUACGUG
rnacentral:rRNA from 1 species